rnacentral:rRNA from 1 species
CAGCAGCCGCGGUAAUACAGAGGUGGCGGACGUUGUUCGGAUUUACUGGGCGUAAAGGGUCCGCAGGCGGAUCGGUAUGUCAGGUGUGAAAGCCCACAGCUUAACUGUGGAAUUGCAUUUGAAACUGCCGGUCUAGAGUACUGGAGGGGAGAAGGGAACACUUGGUGUAGCGGUGAAAUGCGUAGAUAUCAAGUGGAACACCGGAGGCGAAGGCGCUUCUCUGGACAGAUACUGACGCUCAUGGACGAAAGCUAGGGUAGCGAAAGGGAUUAGAUACCCCUGUAGUCCUAGCCGUAAACGGUGUGCACUAGACGUGGGUGGAUUUACCCCCAUCCGUGUCUGAGCUAACGCAUUAAGUGCACCGCCUGGGGAGUACGGUCGCAAGAUUAAAACUCAAAGGAAUUGACGGGGACCCGCACAAGCGGUGGAGCAUGUGGCUUAAUUCGAUGCAACGCGAAGGACCUUACCUGGACUUGACAUAUAGCUGCAUACGACCUGAAAGGGACGUACCCUUCGAGGGUGCUAUACAGGUGCUGCAUGGCUGUCGUCAGCUCGUGCCGUGAGGUGUCGGGUUAAGUCCCGCAACGAGCGCAACCCCUGUGUUUAGUUGCCAGCACGUAAUGGUGGGAACUCUAAACAGACUGCUUGUGAAAACAAGAGGAAGGUGGGGAUGACGUCAAGUCAGUAUGGUCCUUAUGUCCAGGGCUGCACACGUGCUACAAUGGGCGAUACAAUAGGAAGCCAAACCGCGAGGUGGAGCAAAUCCUCAAAAUCGCCCCCAGUUCGGAUUGAAGUCUGAAACUCGACUUCAUGAAGUUGGAAUCGCUAGUAAAGGCGUAUCAGCUACGACGCCUUGAAUACGUUCCCGGGUCUUGUACACACCGCCCGUCACAUCAUGGAAGUUUGUUGCACCCGAAGUCGCUGAUCUAACCUGUCAAAGGAAGAAGGCGCCUAAGGUGCGAUAGAUAACUGGGAUGAAGUCGUAACAAGGUAACCGUA